rnacentral:rRNA from 1 species
UACGAAGGGGGCUAGCGUUGCUCGGAAUCACUGGGCGUAAAGCGCACGUAGGCGGCUUCUUAAGUCAGGGGUGAAAUCCUGGAGCUCAACUCCAGAACCGCCUUUGAUACUGAGAAGCUUGAGUCCGGGAGAGGUGAGUGGAACUGCGAGUGUAGAGGUGAAAUUCGUAGAUAUUCGCAAGAACACCAGUGGCGAAGGCGGCUCACUGGCCCGGUACUGACGCUGAGGUGCGAAAGCGUGGGAGCAACAGG